rnacentral:rRNA from 1 species
UACGUAGGGGGCAAGCGUUAUCCGGAUUUACUGGGUGUAAAGGGAGCGCAGACGGCAGUGCAAGUCUGGAGUGAAAGCCCGGGGCCCAACCCCGGGACUGCUCUGGAAACUGUACGGCUAGAGUACGGUAGGGGCAGGCGGAAUUCCUAGUGUAGCGGUGAAAUGCGUAGAUAUUAGGAGGAACACCGGCGGCGAAGGCGGCCUGCUGGACCGAAACUGACGUUGAGGCUCAAAAGCGUGGGGAGCAAACAGG